GGCUAUUAUGCCAACUCUCCCCAUCGAAGAAAAUUUAACCGGACAUUUCUCUCAUCAGAUACGCUAUUUCGAAUCUCAUAUUUGGUUAGCUUCACAGAUGAAUUAAUAUUCAUGCACGUGACGUUUCUUACCCGGAUGCGUAUUAAUGUUGCAUAUUUAUAUUUAUACUUAUGGACAAAGUGUAUUAAUGCCUAAAUUUUUCUCUUAUCUCCUAGAAUUCCUUUUUUUUUAUUUUAACAGCACCAAAUGGAACAGGCGAAGAAAUUCUACAAAGAUAUCGCUAGUCGCCGCAAAAAAAAACACGAACGGAGGCAAUUAA